GACGAACGCUGGCGGCGUGCCUAAUACAUGCAAGUCGAACGCAGUGGGGACGGUAUAGUAACAUGUGGGUAACCUGCCCAUCAGAGGGGAUAACACUUGGAAACAGGUGCUAAACCGAUAUUGAUGGAUGGACGGUCGGGGGAUUAGCUAGUUGGUGGGGUAACGGCUGACCAAGGCGACGAUGCAUCGCCGGCCUGAGAGGCGGAUCGGCCACACUGGGACUGAGACACGGCCCAGACUCCUACGGGAGGCAGCAGUAGGGAAUCUUCGGCAAUGGACGAAAGUCUGACCGAGCAACGCCGCGUGAGUGAAGAAGGUUUUAGGGUCGUAAAGUUCUGUUGUUAGAGAAGCGUUAUCUAACCAGAAAGCCACGGCUAACUACGUGCCAGCAGCCGCGGUAAUUC
rnacentral:rRNA from 1 species